rnacentral:rRNA from 1 species
ACGAUAAGCUUCUUCGGAAGUGGACAGUGGCAGACGGGUGAGUAACGCGUGGGGAUCUGCCCAGAGGUUCGGGACAACCAUUGGAAACGAUGGCUAAUACCGGAUAAGCCCGCAAGGGGAAAGAUUUAUUGCCUUUAGAUGAGCCUGCGUAAGAUUAGCUAGUUGGUGAGGUAAUGGCUCACCAAGGCUACGAUCUUUAGCUGGUCUGAGAGGACGAUCAGCCACAUUGGGACUGAGACACGGCCCAGACUCCUACGGGAGGCAGCAGUGGGGAAUAUUGGACAAUGGGCGCAAGCCUGAUCCAGCCAUACCGCGUGUGUGAAGAAGGCCUUCGGGUUGUAAAGCACUUUAAGCAGGGAGAAAAAGUUAUAGGUUAAUACCCUAUGACCUUGAUGUUACCUGCAGAAUAAGCACCGGCUAAUUCCGUGCCAGCAGCCGCGGUAAUACGGAAGGUGCAAGCGUUAAUCGGAAUUACUGGGCGUAAAGCGCGCGUAGGUGGUUUGUUAAGUUGGAUGUGAAAGCCCUGGGCUCAACCUAGGAACUGCAUCCAAAACUAACUCACUAGAGUACGAUAGAGGGAGGUAGAAUUCAUAGUGUAGCGGUGGAAUGCGUAGAUAUUAUGAAGAAUACCAGUGGCGAAGGCGGCCUCCUGGAUCUGUACUGACACUGAGGUGCGAAAGCGUGGGUAGCGAACAGGAUUAGAUACCCUGGUAGUCCACGCCGUAAACGAUGGACACUAGUU